UCAGCUUGCCAUGUACUUGAUGCUACCACUACAGAAGUGCAACUACAUAGACAGUAUGUCUGGUGUAGCAUGCCAUGGUGAACCGCCAUUUCGGGUGACCCUGAAACCUGGGGGACUGGAGUCAUUUUGGAAUGGUUAUGCCCCUUUGGACACACUCUGUGGAAAUGGAACUCACAGCCAGUUUUGAAGUUCGGCAUGCAAGGGGGUGACUUCAUGCUGGCUACCAAUAUUCUUCUGUCUGGCAACAACUACAGGAAGAUUGCCCUCCUCUUUCAAUUUAUGAAAAUGGCAGUGGUUGCUGAGGGGACUUUCUUCCGAAUUCAAGACGCUUAUUGUAUUGAUCCUGUCCAGGAAUUUUGGGAAAAAAAUAGGGCAAACAUCAUAGACAGGUUGCGUCAGGAAGAACAUGUCGUUGUCCUAGGUGAUGGCAGAAUGGACUCUCCAGGACACUGUGCACAAUACUGCACUUACACAACUCUUGAGCAAGAGUCAAGAGACAUUGUGCACAUUGUCACCGUAGACAAGCGAGAAACAAAAAGGAAUUCCGUGAUUAUGGAGAAGGAGUGCUUCAUCAGGACCAUGGAUGCACUAAUCAAGGAAAUUCCUGUCAGAGAAGUUGUUACAGAUGCCCACCCACAAAUAUCUGCCUUGCUUAAUCCUGAACGUGGACGCUACAAAGGCAUUCAACACUCACUCGACAUAGGGCAUGCUGCCAAAAAUCUUGGAAAGAAGUUACGACGGGCUGGCACCAUAAAAAAUCAGAAUUCAAUUCUGGUUUGGAUGAAGGACAUCGUGAACCACUUUUGGUAUUGCUGCAAACAAGCAUUGACAGAGGAGCAGUUCAAGAUGAUGUGGCAUGGAGUCUUGCACCAUGUCCGCAACCAACAUUCAUGGGCAACUGGAUGCUGUGAACAUGAGCCUCUGGAUGAAGGAAGCCAAAACAAGCCAUGGAUCCAGCAAGGUUCAGCAGCUCAUAAGGCACUUACAGCAAUUGUGCUUGACAAGCGCUGGUUGAGCCAGGUGAAGAAGUUCAUAAACUUUAGGACCACAUCUGAUUUGGAAAGCUUCAAAAUCAUAUUCUAAUGUAUGCGGCAAAGCGCUUCGCCUACAGCCCACCUGUAUACAAGACGCGAGUUUUGCUUGCCGCCUUAGAUUACAAUAACCACAAUCAUCGCCUGCCAGCCCGUAACAAGGAUGGACACAAAAUAUAUAGAAGAUACUUCAACAAAAAAUCAAAAAUCUGGAGUGUCUACACCACAAAGGAAAAGAAGCAGUAUAGCUACAUACAAGACCUUCAGAAGGCCAUUCUGGGGAGAAGAAUUCGAAGUGGGAGAGGCCUUCCCCGCAAACAGAUGCUCAGGUCCGAUGACCCAAGGCGCAUGGGUUUGCUUGCUGCUGUACCGCCAACACCCACUGCAGAACUUGUGCAGGACCACAUUGAAAGAGGAGACAUUCCUCCACAGUGACUGUUGUACUGUAAUCUGGUUCUUGUAAAUAUUUGUAAUAAAUGAUGGACAAUAUUGAACUUUUCAAAAAAAUUCUUUAUUUAUAUGCAAAAACUAAAUAAGUUAAAAUAAAUAAAAGUAAAGUGCACAAAUGCUGAGGUAACAGAGAACCAAACAUACAAUUCCCAAAUGUUUAUAAAAUAACAUGCUGUUUAGAAAUACCUAUAUAACUAUUUACAAAUGGAUAAUAAAAAAAAACUAUUCAAGGCGGCGCACCCGGAAUCCAGUGUAUUGGCCUCUUGGGUCAGGGAACUUGAUUCGGACCUUCCAUACACAACAGCUGGGUAUGACAACUCUGUUGCCCACACCCAGGCGGCCAUGCUGCCACAGCACAUACUGUCUGUAGGCAGCAUGUCUGUACUGACGCUGUUCAACACCCGGCUCCUGGCUGUCAUCAACCGCAAAAAUGUCAUUCCAGGCCGCACGGGCCAGCCGUAACACACCCUCAUCCAACACAUAGAACUCCAUAUGUGCGGAGUUGCUUAUGCAAUUAGCUGGUGUCUGCUUACAACAAAGCCUUUCCAGGUCUGUGGUCAUUUCUCUACAAUUGGUGCAAGUGCACCAAUGCAGGACAUCUCCGACAGGGUCAGGGCUAUGUGGUAUCUCAAGCAUGGCCAUGACAUCGAACAUGAGACCUGGCAAUCUUGUGAGUAUAGAAUUCAACAGCUUGUCCUUCUGGUCAUACUCAAGCGAUUGCAGUU